UGGGGAAUUUUGCACAAUGGGCGCAAGCCUGAUGCAGCGACGCCGCGUGAGGGAUGAAGGCCUUCGGGUUGUAAACCUUUUUCGCUCAUGGUCAAGCCGCAGCUUUGGGUUGUGGUGAGGGUAGUGGGUAAAGAAGCGCCGGCUAACUACGUGCCAGCAGCCGCGGUAAUACGUAGGGCGCGAGCGUUUUCCGGAAUUAUUGGGCGUAAAGGGCGUGUAGGCGGUUGGCCGCGCGUGCCGUGAAAUCCUCUGGCUUAACUGGGGGCGUGAGGUGGGUACGGGUUGACUUGAGUGCGGUAGGGGAGACUGGAAUUCCUGGUGUAGCGGUGGAAUGCGCAGAUAUCAGGAGGAACACCGGUGGCGAAGGCGGGUCUCUGGGCCGUUACUGACGCUGAGGAGCGAAAGCGUGGGGAGCGAACAGG
rnacentral:rRNA from 1 species